rnacentral:lncRNA from 1 species
UUUAAAUUAUUUUCACUCUUCUCUUUAUUGCCACCUCCUCCUCCUGGAGAUCACAGCUAAUGUCACCUUUACCAUCUCCUCCACUGGGUAGAGCCUGGACAUCUGGCACCUGGGCACUGGUCCUGCCUGGGCACUGCCACUUCCAUUCUCAUGACAGGAGCAAAGUGCCUGCCCUGUGGAGUGCCUUGACACUUUACCCCAAUAGCACGCUUAACACAAAGGAUCUCAGAGUGUCUUGGGGAAGAUGUGAUCUGUGCCAAGCUCAGUCCUUUUCCUGGACCCUCUGCAGAGAAGCCAGGGCAUUCUCCAGCCUGUGCUAGAAAUGCGACAAGCUCAGGAAUUAAGGUGCAGGAGUUCCCGCCAUGGCUCAGUGGUUAACAAACUCAAUUAGUAUCCAUGAGGACAUGGGUUCAAUCCCUGGCCUUGCUCAGCGGGUUGGGGAUCGGGCACUGCUGUGAACUGUGCUGUAGGUUGCAGGUGCGGCUUGGAUCCAGCAUUGAAAUGACUGUGGUGUAGGCCGGCAGCUACAGGUCCGAUUAGACCCCUAGCCUGGGAGCCCUCCAUACGCUCUAGGUGUGGCCCUAAAAAGACAAAAAGACAAAAAAAUAAAAGAAAUUAAGGUGCACAUUUCAUAGGCAGGCACUUCAUCAAGCACGGUCCUGUUCCCUUUGCUAAUCGUUUCAUGCCUGUGCUUCCUGCCUUCCCAGCCAUCCUGAGACCAUCUUGAGGGUAUGGACUGCAGCUUCUAGUUCUCUGUUAAGCCCAGGGUUCUGAGCAUCACAGUGAGGGCUGGAUUCAUAUCAGCUGGUUGUCUCAGCAUCAUCUCCACCAACCUGAGGCACAGGUGCUUCUCCAGGGCAUUUUCCAAGGGGGAAAGUCCAGGAUAAAGUCCCUGACCCCAAAUCUUUAUCUUACACCUGAAAAUACCCUUUCCCCCAGCAAGGACACACUCACAGGCCUCCAGCAUUAGGGCCUGACAUCUUUGGGGGAUGCUUCGCCUACUGCACCACCGCCCACCACCUCUUCUGACCUCGAACGAGUGUCCAAGGGUCCCAGAUCAGCCUCUCUGAGUCGUGCUUAUCCCUCUGAGGUACAGGAAUGACUUUUAUGGAUCCGUUGGCUUCUUCACAGAGUGGUGGUGAGGACUGAGAGGUAAUAUAUAUAUUGAAAGCAUUUUCUAAGCUGUAAAGCCCCACACAAAUGCAAGACAACAUUAUUGCACCGGGAGCGUGGCAAGUUCAACACUUGAGAAAACUAUCAGAUUUUAAAACAUGUGAGGGAAUAGGAAACCAAUGUUAUUCCAAAACCUCAUUUACACCCCACACCAAAGCCUCCCACUCUCCCUGCCUCCGCUCUCCCCUGUGGCUAUAGGGGUGUGACAGAGGCCUGUCUUGGGGGUGGCUUUGUGGCCUGAAAACAAAUCAUUCUUCACAGCUGGCUCCCCGAGUCCAAUAAGCCAGAAGGAAUUGGUAGAGAGAUUUAACGAUAUGUAUUUCAAGAAAAAGAUGAAAAUGUGUCUACUUUUAGGAGAUGCAGUAAAAAUGCAUCAGCCCCACAAUAAACUUGGCAGUGAAGAUGCAUAGAAGGCACACAUAUAAUGCAGUCAGGGCAGUAAUGUCUCAUUUCUAGGGAAAUCCUCUAAGAGAUCAAUUAGAAUUUGCCCCCGCCCAUGCCCUAUACACAGCCUCUGAACACGGUCCCACCCCUCCAGCUACCUCCAGCCUCUGCAGGGGGCCUGUUGGCUCAAAGCAGCUUGUUCCCCGGUCUCCCUUGGAAGUCUCUAGAAGAGAUGUGGGCUGAAACGGUUUGCAAACCAAUUACAUGAGAAGUGGGAAACUGUGGCCCCCAGAUCAAACCUGGCUCAUAAAUUACAGCUUUAUUGGAUCACAGACAUGCUGAUUCCUUCUAUGAUGGCUUUGUUGCUCUAAUAGAAGAGUUUAAUAAUUCUGAUUGAAAUCACAUGGCCUGAAAGUCUAAUAUAUAUAUUAUUGGGCCUUUACAGAAAAAGUUUGUUGACAUCUGAAUAACGCCAUUACGUGAUAGGCUGUCUUUAGGCAAAACUGCCUGUAAAACCAAGAACAGGAUGACAGCUAAUUUUUUUGAGCCCUGUUCUGUGCCACGCAUGGCAUUGUGCCCAUAGGAACAGAAUGUCCCCUUAUUUAUUCUCGCAAGCAGUCCCAUGAGGUAGUAAUGCUAGCAGUAUGGCUAGAGGAGAAAACAGGCUCAGGGAAGCUAAGCAACUUUCUCAAGGUCUCAACCUGGAAACCGGUAGAACUGGCAUUCACACUCAUGUGUGGCUGAUUCCACCACCCUUGCUCUGGCCGCCACUCUCAAGCAUCUGGUUUCCAGAUGGGCAAUUCGGAGACUCUCUUCCAGUCUCCAGCACCUUGCACUUGUUGAGGAUCUGAUUUUCUGUAUCUAAUGUACCUGCAUCGAAUCUCCCAUCAUUCACCUGCCUGCCGUGGCCGCUCUGCUAAGGAGUGAAGAAAGGGAGCCUUCCAAGCCGUCUUCCUCUCCCUUUCCCACCCUGUGCUCCCCAUCCCUGUGCUCAGUGGAUUUUGUCCCACAUUUCUGCAGGACCCGUGUUGCCGCAGUCUCCCCCGACUGUCCCACUCCUGGGCGAGAUUCUGACUGUUCUGGAGCCUCCAGUCUGCACAGAGGGGGGCGCCAACAGAGCCCUGGGAACAGAGGCAUUUGCAUUCCACUUCCCGGGGCUGUUCUGAUCUUACCUGCAAUUCUUCUGACAAAUUCUUAUCAGCGAUGCCCAUGGCGAAGUCUGUGGUGACUUUGUUCAUUCUUAUUAGCUCUGCAGAUUAGCUCUUCACAGCGCUUGGCUGGUUCAUACCGAUUCCUGAUAAAUGUUUUGACUGAUUUUCCUGACUUGGGAGCAGUUGGGGACUGGGGCUGGGGUGGAGGCAGAAGACCGUGAGGAGAGGGGUGCUGGCGAGGGGAAGGAGAGAAAAUUGUGGCCAGGAUUACAUCUGGGCUAUAAAAUAUUCAUCACAUGCCUGCAAGAGCAGGGUCAGCACCACUUCCCCAAGAACUGCUCCCUCCACCAGGCAGCACUUUGAAAUGCACCAGCCCGGGCAGGCUGGGAGCAGCCGGGAGAGGCUUCUGAGAGAAGGGGCCAGUGGAAGUUAAAAGGAAGGAAGAACAAACCAGCUCACUUGGGCUUUCCUGUCCUUCUCGGUCCCUCCCUUCUCACCUGCUCUUCAAGAACAGCUUUUGAUGGCAGAAUACUGAUGUUCCGGGUGGGCUCAGCUGCUCCUGUGCUGGGUUCCUCUUCUCCCUUUUGCUGCCCCAAGAAACCUUCCUGAGAAUUUCAGCCCACCCUUCCUCUCCUUUCCAAGAGGUCCUCCAGCUUCCCUCUUUGAGGACUUCAGACAGUGCUAAUAACAGCGUUCCUCACCGUCUCCUGUAUUUCCCCACCUAGACUGGACUUAGAGUCAUGCCCCUCCCAAGACUAGACACGAGGUACCCAUUUGUAACGUCAUGGCUGAAUUAAAAGAGCUCCUUCCCUUUGGCAGAGUUGGCCAGCAGGUACCACCACACCACCAGUGCUGAAGCAAGGCAGGCAUUGCCGAUCGACUUCCACACGCUUUCUUCUCAAACCAAGAUGAAGUUUUCCCCUUGUUCUUAACAAGAGUUUCCAAGCAGCCACUCCUAAUCCAAUGGAAUCAAGAAGGAAAUAAAAACCUCUUUGCUAUCCUGGUUCUUUGGUAUCCCCUGUAACUUCCUUGCAAUCAGGCACUACCUUUAGAGUCUAGGAACCUGGUACUGUGGCCCCAUAUAAAAUAGGAGUUCCUGUCGUGGUGCAGUGGUUCACGAAUCUGACUAGGAGCCAUGAGGUUGCGGGUUCGGUCCCUGCCCUUGCUCAGUGGGUUAACGAUCCGGCGUUGCCAUGAGCUGCGGUGUAGGUUGCAGACGCAGCUCGGAUCCCGCGUUGCUGUGGCUCUGGCGUAGGCCAGUGGCUACAGCUCCGAUUCAACCCCUAGCCUGGGAACCUCCUUAUGCCCAGGGAAGCGGCCCAAAGAAAUAGCAAAAAGACAAAAUAAAUAAAUAAAAAUAAAUAAAUAAAUAAAUAAAUAAACCCUGCACCCACAAAAGAAAGCUAUCCAUCACUUUCCGCAGGUAUCCGGUCAAGGCUUACCCUCUAAAAAAUUCUUUCAUGUGUCUAACCCAAGACCCUGCUGCAGUAGAAUUAUAUUCCUGGGCUUUUCUCCCAUGGGAGAAAAAAGUCAGAUGCUUUGAGAAGUGAUGUUCUCACUCACUGCUCUUUCCCACUGCCCGGAAGUUUAAACUCUGGUGCCCAAGCACCUCACUCUGGAAAAACUCGACUCAUGCCAGCCCCAUGCCUGCUCGUGCCAGCUCCCUGGAAAAUGACCCACACCCCCGAAACUAGAAAGAGGCCUGGAGACUCUUGAAGGUCCUCUCUUGCCGCAGCCAAGUUUACUCAUUAGCCUUUCACCAGAUUUAUCUUCUCCCUGGUAGCCUGCAGCGCUUUGAUUUGUCCUGCUGUCACCAGGACUAAUGUUGAUGGCGGCACCCCCCCGGGGGCGUCAGGCUCUCCAGCCUCCUGCCAGAGCCCUCGAGGAAAAUGGAUGAGCAACUGACCCGCAAAAUAAAUACCAGACUUCCAGGUUCUGAUAAAGAUUAAAUAUUGGAGGAGUCAUUUCAAAUGAAUAUAUAAAAGCACAUGGAAGAAGCCUUUUAGACUCCGGCAGAGUGACAUACAGGCAAACAAAGAGAGAUGUCUUUGGGGAAGUUCAGUGGCAGGGAAGUUGGAGGCUCCGAAUGCAAUCUGCCCACAAAUACCCCAGCUGCAGGAAGGAUUCCAAAACAGUCAUCCCUCCCUUUCCCUCCACCCUCCCCACCCAGAUCGUGAAGAAGAGAAAGUGCUAAGCUCCAAAAGCCGCGUGCCAGCAUGAUGCUGAAGUCAGCUCUGGCCCAUCCAACCAAGGGAGAAGCCCCAUUACUCAACACCAUCUGCCUUGGGCGUGGAGCAGCCAAGAGCUAGGAUUACGGGCGGGGAUGGGGCUCUGAGGCCCCAAAGGAGAGAGUUACUGGGGAAGAGCAAGGUCAGGCAUCUCUGAGACAGAACGGGGAGGCGGGAGAGAAGCCAGAUGUCAGCAGAUGGAGCCAGUGUUCCUUGAGCCUGGGGCAGAAUGUGGUUUCUGGUCCGAAACAUGUGCAGAUUGAUUGCACAUCCAGAAACGCCCAAUAACCAGAAUCCCAGGAUCCUGUCUCUAGAAUCAAAUGUUGGAGUUCUCUGGAUCAAAGUUCAAGUGCAGUUAGCAUGGAGAUGGAAGAGGAGAGAGGCAGCCUUGAUUUACCUGGUGCCUGCAGUGCUGGGCCACUUACUCCUCCUGACCGUCCUGGGAGAUGGGCACUGGCAUCCAUUCCUUACAGAAAGGAGGCUGAGGCUGCGGCGAACCGAUGGCCACGAGGCUGGCGUUCGUCCCGCUGCCACAUGCUCAGUUCUCCAUCUCAGUCUGGAAGGCAGAGUCUUGGUGGUGGUCCAGGGACAGCUGUCCAAAUUCCUGAGAACCGGGCUCAGUAUCCAGGUCCCUCC